AACUGCACAUGCUUCAUAAACAGAUGACAAGUCCAACUGCAACAGGCAAUGGGCCCUGCUUUGAACUUCACCAAAAGGCUCAUUUAGCUUGAACGCCGUACCAGAUACUGCAGGCAUUCCCUUUGGGCUGAGCCAUUGGAUUUGAAUGUUGUUUCUGGAAACAGAGGAGAGACCACGUGAGGACAGAGCAAGAACAUAGUCAUCCAUGAGCAAGAAAGAGAGCUCUCACCAGAGACCAACCCUGACAGCACCUUGAUCAUGGACUUCUAGUCUCCAGAACUGUAAGAAAAGAAAUUGGUGUUGUUUAAGCCACCCAGUAGGAUGUGGUAUUUGGUUGUGAUAGC